rnacentral:rRNA from 1 species
CUGGCCUACGGGAGGCAGCAGUGAGGAAUAUUGGUCAAUGGGCGCGAGCCUGAACCAGCCAAGUCGCGUGAGGGAAGACGGUCCUGUGGAUUGUAAACCUCUGUUGUCGGGGAGCAAAAGACGCCACGCGUGGCGUUCCGAGAGUACCCGGAGAAAAAGCAUCGGCUAACUCCGUGCCAGCAGCCGCGGUAAUACGGAGGAUGCGAGCGUUAUCCGGAUUUAUUGGGUUUAAAGGGUGCGCAGGCGGAAGAUCAAGUCAGCGGUAAAAUUGAGAG